AGUCAGGAGGGUGGAGGAUCCCAGAGAAGUCUGGAUGGGGCACUGGGACAGGGGCACCCUGAGGGGGGAGGUGCGGGCAGAGGGGGUCUCCCCGGGAGGGGUAUGAGGAAGGGUGGGGAGUCCUGCAGAGGCUCCCCCGGCGGAAAAGGCUGAAGACCUGGAUCCUGCGGUUGGGUGGGUUGAUCAGUGCCCACACCGACCCACCCGGAACUGGAGCAGUCUGUCUCCAGCUUGCAAGUCUCAGACCCUGGAAGCUCACUUCCCAAUUCGUACUGAUCAUUUACUGACGAUAACAGUUCAUUUACCAGGCCUGCUUGGGAUGAGAAUACGUCGUUCCACCUCAUCGAGGGCUUUAUAUACAAUUAAAUAUCAAGGAGCUAAAUUCUACAUAGGUAGGAAAAGAGAAAGGAAAUAACAUGCCUCCAGAAGAAGGUCAACAAUUCAAAAAGUACGGGAAAGAGGAAGGAUGCAAGAGAGGAAGAAAAAAUUUAUAAAGAAGAUUAAAAGAGAAAUAGAGACAUUAACAGGACAGACUAGAAGUAUGGGAAAGGUUUGCCAACCUCUGGUAAAGAGCAUGAGCUCUGGAACCAGACAAACUUGGAUGAUGUGAAUCCUGCUUUCAUCUCUUAGCACCUGACUUUGGACAAGUAACUACCUUUUAAAGCCUUUUUUUUUUUCAUUUGUAAAAUGGAAUAGUAAUAAUACAUACUUAAUUGAGCGGUUGGGAAGAUUCAGUGAGAUAGUCUAUGUCGCUAUGAUAGCCCAGUGUCUGUCAUAUAUUUAGCUUAGCUAGAGGACAUGAAGCCAAGUGAAGUAAGCCAUUCGCAAGAAGGAAAAAUACUGCAUGAUUAGUCAAAAUCAUAGAGCAGAAAGCCGAAUGCUGGUGGCCAGGGGCUGGGGGAGGAAAGAAUGAGGAUUUUUUUUUUUUUUAAUGCACAUAGAGUUUUCAGUUUCACAAGGUGAAAAGAAUUAUGGAGAUAGAUGGUGGUGAUGGUUACACGUUAUGAAUGCAUUUAAUAUCACUGACCAGUACAUUUAAAAAUGGUUAAGAUAGCAAAUUUUACAUUAUGUGUGUUUUAACACAAUUUUAAAAAUUAUUUAUUUAUUUAUUUGACUGUGCCAGGUCUUAGUUGCAGCAUACGAGAUCUUUAGUUUCGGCAUGCGAACUCUUAGUUGCAGCAUUCGAACACUUAGUUAUGGCCUGUGGGAUCUAGUUCCCUGACCAGGGAUCGAACCCGGGCCCCCUGCAUUGGGAGCGUGGAGUCUUAGCCACUGGACCACCAGGGAAUCCCACACAAUUUUUUUAGUGGAAGGGAAAAGGCCACCUCUGUGGGCACAGGCCCAGGUAUAUCUCUUGCCUGAGGACUUCCUCUGCUUUACACUUUUCAGCAGCUAAGGUCACAGGAGGUUGAAGGUCAGAAAAGAAGAGAAAUUCAUUGAGAACAAUCUGUAAAGGCCAGACUACUUAACAUCAGAUGAACUUUGUGGAGUCAAUCAGUACCAAACAAUAGUCAGAUGUUAUUAACGCUCCUCCUGCCUUCUCUGCCUGAACUUGGAAUUCUUCCACUGGCAUUGACAUUGUCUGUUAUUGAGCCCUUAAUUAUAAACAUCAGGCAGAAAACUAUGGAAGGGAAACUUACAAUCUCCAUUCUGAACGAAGCCAUCGUUGAGAUAGUGGUUUAGACCAGUGCUAUUCAAAGUGUUCUUUGUGAACCAGUUUAUGACAGGAUUCUACUUCUGGGUGAGAUGGAUGAAGACCCUACCAGACCUCACACACACACACACACACACACACACACACACAAAAACCAUCACAAAACCUGGAUAUGACACACACACACACACACACACACACACACACACACGCACAAACCACUUGAAGUUAUUUGAGAGUGAACAGAAGCUGACAGGCUCUUAUGAGGAUUGCAUGCUCCUUGGAGGAGGGGAGGUGGAGAGGCAUACAGGUAAGUUGUUGUACCUGUGGCUUUUAUCCUGGGACUACAUAUUGUGCAUCCAGCAUGGGGAUCACAUGUGGAAAACCCUGCAUCUUUUCUGGCCUGUAGAAACAUAAAAGUAUGAAAAUAUGAACAUUGAGGAGAGUGGGAGAACCCACAAAAGGGAGAGAGCCAGAGGAUGGAUCCUCAAAUUCAUUCUGUCCAUACCUCUGACUGCCCUCUGAAGCACACACACGUGAUGUAGACCCAAAGCAACUCAACUAAAGACAAACAAUGUGAAGCAAGACUAGCGCUAUCCAGUUCACGUCCACACAGGAUGAAACUAACACUUAGUAGAGGAAAAUAACAGAACCCAGAAUCUCUCCAACUUAAUAUUCACAUCAGGUAACAAUCCAAAAGCUACCUGAAAGGAACGAGGAAAAAGAAAAUGGACAAGAAAACCAAUUAAAUCCAUCCAUGCAAUGAGCCAGAUGUUAGAACUGACAGAAACAGAUUUUAAAGAAAUAUUAUAACUAAAUUCAAUGAAUUAAAAUAAAACAGACCUCAAUGAAUAAAAACCUCAAGAGAAAAGUGGUAAAUCUCAGCAGAGAAAUACAAAUGUAAAAAAAAAGACCAAAUGGAAAUUGUAGACUUGAAGAAGACAUGACAGAUAAAAGAGUAAGUGAAAUCAAAUCAAGAGAUAGAUUAAUAGGUAAAUAAAUGAAACAAGAAAAGAAAGAAAGAGA